rnacentral:lncRNA from 1 species
CUUCCGUCUUUGGGAGGUACGCUGGCCCUGAAAUAAGACCUCGUCCAGACGAUGAGGGCGAAGUGGAGGAAGAAGCGCAUGCGCAGGCUGAAGCGCAAAAGGAGGAAGAUGAGGCAGAGGUCCAAGUGAAGUCCGGGCGGAGAAGUCCGCGGCGGCCAGCCGUCCAUCCCUGGGCAGGUCCACCGCCUUCCGGACCCAGGAAAGAUCUUCUCUGCGGACCUCGGUCCAGCUCUGCACUGUUUCCGUUUCAUACGGCCUUCAAUAAAGCGUUAUGGUUUUGAGAGAAAUAUUCCUGACUCUGACGCCGCUUUGGCAGGUUUCCGCUGAUGUUUGUUUGAAUACUGAUCACGCAGAACAACGAAUAAAUUAGUUUUGUUUUAACUGCA